rnacentral:misc_RNA from 1 species
UAUUAUUAUUAUUAUUAUUAUUGCCAUCAAUAUUUCACAUGCAUAUAAAGAACAUACUCAUAUCAUCGGCCACUCCGGGAGUCAGUUGGAGGAGUUUUUCUUGCCCCUGCCCAAGAUGGCAUCCUUAGCAGACUUUAUUGUAUUUGUCACAGCAGCAGUCGUUCUACCCAAUAGUCCAUCUCCGGUGCCAGAUUCCCUGUUCUUGCGAGUAAGAUGAACCACCCCAACUUUCUCCUUUGUGGGUUCGUCAUGCCCUGCUGGUGAUCGGUAAUCUUCUGUUUCCACCUUUGUUUCUAUUGCUUCUUCGUUUACCCUUUCAGUUCCUUGUGUAUUCAUGUUGUUGGAGUUUCAGAUACUGGAAGUUAUCACCUCUUGAUUCUUUGAUCAUGCUACAUCAAUAAGUAUCAUUCACUUUAUCUCGGUUGUAGUAUGAGG